AGUGAACGCUGGCGGUAGGCCUAACACAUGCAAGUCGAACGGCAGCACAGUAAGAGCUUGCUCUUACGGGUGGCGAGUGGCGGACGGGUGAGGAAUACAUCGGAAUCUACUUUUUCGUGGGGGAUAACGUAGGGAAACUUACGCUAAUACCGCAUACGACCUACGGGUGAAAGCAGGGGAUCUUCGGACCUUGCGCGAUUGAAUGAGCCGAUGUCGGAUUAGCUAGUUGGCGGGGUAAAGGCCCACCAAGGCGACGAUCCGUAGCUGGUCUGAGAGGAUGAUCCGACACCCUGUAACUGAGACACGUUCCAGACUCCUACGGGAGGCAGCAGUGGGGAAUAUUGGACAAUGGGCGCAAGCCUAAUCCAGCCAUACCGCGUGGAUGAAGAAGGCCUUCGGGUGGUAAAGCCCUUUUGUUGGGAAAGAAAAGCAGCAGGUUAAUACCCCGCUGUUCUGACGGUACCCAAAGAAUAAGCACCGGCUAACUUCGUG
rnacentral:rRNA from 1 species